AGGCUUUGAUCCUGGCUCAGGAUGAACGCUAGCGGCAGGCCUAACACAUGCAAGUCGAGGGGUAGAGGAAGCUUGCUUCCUUGAGACCGGCGCACGGGUGCGUAACGCGUAUGCAAUCUACCUUGUACAGGGGAAUAGCCCAGAGAAAUUUGGAUUAAUGCCCCAUGGUAUAUAGUUUUCGCAUGAUUACUAUAUUAAAGAUUUAUCGGUACAAGAUGAGCAUGCGUCCCAUUAGUUAGUUGGUGUGGUAACGGCACACCAAGACGAUGAUGGGUAGGGGUCCUGAGAGGGAGAUCCCCCACACUGGUACUGAGACACGGACCAGACUCCUACGGGAGGCAGCAGUGAGGAAUAUUGGGCAAUGGGCGAGAGCCUGACCCAGCCAUGCCGCGUGCAGGAAGACGGUCCUAUGGAUUGUAAACUGCUUUUAUACGGGAAGAAACACUCCUUCGUGAAGGAAGCUUGACGGUACCGUAAGAAUAAGGAUCGGCGUAACAUCCGU
rnacentral:rRNA from 1 species